rnacentral:lncRNA from 1 species
UGAUAAUAUGGGAAUAGAGAAUAGAGCAAUUCUAGUAUAUGGGCGAUGGUAGCAGAAUAGAGAGGAUAACUAUGGUUUCUCUACUUCAAAGGGGUAUGUCUAUGUCUGGGAUGAACCACGUGAUAAGAGUACACCACAAAGGAUGCUUAUCCAUAGGCCGAUAAACCCUACCCGUCCUGCUAACGAGAGGUGGACUACAGGGGACCAACGUAACUGUCACCUACGCGGCCUACCACACGAUCCAGCUAGUCAGGGGAUAUCCACAAGUAAUCU